rnacentral:rRNA from 1 species
AAUCGGUGAGCUUGGCCUCUUUCAAUGAUAGAUUGAAGUUAUCAAUGGGUUUGGUUCCACCCCACUGUUUGGGGUCAUCACCCAAUCCCGACUUGGGGAUGUAAAGACAAUAAAUAACAAUACAGGGCUCUUUCGGGUCUUGUAAUUGGAAUGAGUACAAUUUAAAUCCCUUAACGAGGAACAAUUGGAGGGCAAGUCUGGUGCCAGCAGCCGCGGUAAUUCCAGCUCCAAUAGCGUAUAUUAAAGUUGUUGCAGUUAAAAAGCUCGUAGUUGAAUUUCGGGGUUCCAUCGUUGGUCGGGCUAUUGUCUGUACUGGCGUGUGGAAUUUCUACCUUCUGGGGAACUAUCAUGUUAUUAAUUUAGCGUGGUAGGAAACCAGGACCUUUACCUUGAAAAAAUUAGAGUGUUCAAAGCAGGCUUAUGUCUGAAUACAUUAGCAUGGAAUAAUAAAAUAGGACGGUGGUCCUGUUUUGUUGGUUUCUGAAUCACCGUAAUGAUUAAUAGGGAUAGUUGGGGGCAUUAGUAUUCAAUUGUCAGAGGUGAAAUUCUUGGAUUUAUUGAAGACUAACUACUGCGAAAGCAUUUGCCAAGGAUGUUUUCAUUAAUCAAGAACGAAAGUUAGGGGAUCGAAGACGAUCAGAUACCGUCGUAGUCUUAACCAUAAACUAUGCCGACUAGGGAUCGGACGAUGUUAACUUUUCUUGACUCGUUCGGCGCCUUACGGGAAACCAAAGUGUUUGGGUUC